GAUCAGAAUGGGAAAAAUACCUGUUUAAAAAACAAGUUGGAAAAAAGUAAUUUUUUAAGAAACAAAAAUAAAGAUUUAUACAAACACCUAACAAAAGUAAACCCCAUGGUAAGUAUUACAUUUUUUGCUGGGAUUUAACAAUGUGUAGCACUAAAAUUGCAGUACGGUAAUUCUUUUAACUUGCCUAAAGGCGGCAAAAAUCCUUGCACCAGCCCUGCUUGUGUAUUCACAGUUAAAAUGUCAUGCAGAACUAAAAAUUUUUUUAAAAAUUCUUAAUUUCUUAUUUUUUUAUAUUUUAUUCAUAUUAAAUUAUGUUUCAUAGCUAAAUAUUUGAUGUUCAAUGAAAGACCCAUUUCUUCAGAAUAAAAUGAUAUAUAAUAAGUGUGGGUGCACUUAAUAUGAAAGAGGUGAAUUACGGUUGAACAGACAUAUAGUCAAAUUCCAAGUUUUGUUUACAUUUUAUUUUGAUCAAAACGUGUACAUUUGGCUCAGUCCGUAAGGGGUUAAUAGAAUACAGAGUUUAGUAUAAAUAAAAAAUUAAAGGUGCACUAUAGUCAAACUAUAAAGGAAAAAAGAUAGGUUCCCUAUCCUUCUUUCUUGCUUUUAUAUUAGUUUGUCAUUAAAAAAAAUCAGUUUGAGUGCUUUUUAAUAAUUAAAACUUACCUCUGUUCCAGCGUUGAGAUCCUCGACAAGCCACACACCCUUUUUCAUCAAAAUGACAAAGUAGUAAGGAUCAAUCAGAUGCUUCUCUUAGAGAAGCGUCACAGUUGUCUGGUGUGCAUGCGCGGCUUCAUGCUUCACCAAUCGCGUUCUUCAUAGAGCCGCAUUGAAUGCCACUCUAUGAAUGAACUGAGCACUCAGCUCGCUGUCUAUGCCCACACCAUGCCUACCGCUACCCUAGAGCCUAAAGUUUGUAUACAAACACUAUAUUUAUAUUUAGUGUUUGCAUAAAAACACACAAGUUGUAAAUAAAUAUUGUAAACAUACUCACACACACACACACUCUAUCUAUCUAUUACAAUCUAUCUCUAUUUCCAUCUAUCUAUUUCCAUCUAUCUAUUUCCAUCUAUCUAUUUCCAUCUAUUUCCAUCUCUAUUACUAUCUAUCUAUGUCUAUUUCUACCUAUCUAUGUCUAUCUAUUACUAUAUAUCUAUCUAUCCAUCUAUUACUGUCUAUAUCUAUCUGUUUCUAUCUGUUUCUAUCUGUUUCUAUCUGUUUCUAUCUGACUAUCUAACUCACACUCACAGUCUCUCACGCUCUCUCAUUCACUCUCUCACACACUCACUCACACUCACUUUUACUCACUCUCACUCACUGUCACUCACUCACUUUUACUCACUCUCACUCAUUCUCUCUCACUUUUACUCACUCACUCACACACACACACUCACUCACUCACUCUUAAACUCCCUCUCACAUUUACUCACUCUCUCUCACACUUUCUUACUUUUACUCACACACACCCACUCUCUCUCUCACUUUUACUCACACUCCCUCCCUCCCUCCCUCCCUCCCUCAGUUUUACUCACUCUCACAUGCUCUCACUCACACUUUGACUCACUCCCUCUCACUCAAUCUCUCUUAUGUUUAUUCAAUCUUACUCACUCUCUCUCACACUCACUCACUCUCUCUCACAUUUACUCACUCUCACACUCUCACUCACACACACUCUCUCACUUUUACUCACUCUCACUCACUUUUACUCACUCAUGUUUACUCACUCUCACUCACUUCCACUUACAUUUACUCAUUCUCACUCACCCUCUCAUUUAUUCUCUCACUCUCACAAUCUCACUCACACUCUCACUCACUAACUCUCACUCACCCUUUUACUCACUAAUUAUCUCACUAACUCUCACUCUCAAACUCACUCACUCACCAACCCUCGCUCACUAAAUCACUCACUGACUCACUCUCUUGUUCACUCACUAACUCUCUCGCUCACUCUCACUCACUAAUUCACUCACUCUCACUCACUUACUCACUCACACUCUCACUUACUCUCACUCACUUUUACUCUCUCUCACUUACUCUCUCACUCAACUCACUUUCACUCUCUCACUAUCUCACUUUCAGUUACUCACUCUCUCACUCACUUUCACUCACUCACACUCUCACUCACUUUAACUCUCACUUUUUAUUUCUUUCACUCACUUUCACUCCUUUCACUCACUCACUUUCACUCUCUCACUAUCUCACUUUCAGUUACUCACUCACUCUCUCACUCACACACUUUCACUCACUUUCACACUCACUCACCCACUUACUCACGCACUCUCUCACUCACUUUUACUCUCACUCCCACUCACAUUCACUCUCUCACUCACUCUAAGUCACUCACUCUAAGUCACUCACUCUCACUCAAUCACUUUCACUCUCUCUAACACUCACUUUUACUCACACACUCACUCUCACUCAUUUUUAAAAUAAGUGUACUUACGGUCUGGGUCCCCCUGCUGUGUCUCCUGCCUUCUGCCUUCAGCCUGGCAGCCUGUCAGCCUGAGCCCAUGAUGUGUUCAGAUCUUUAUCUCCCACACUGUCGGCGCUGACUGCUGACAGCCGCUGGGGUUACUACAGGACACAGGAGGCAUGUUCACGGUUCACUUGUGUCCUGAUAGCACGUUUGAUGUCUUCAGCUAAGCAUCAGUCAAACGUGAGUCCUGCGCAUCAGGCAAGACUUGACUCGAAAGUCCCUCUGAUGGCCGUGUGAGUGACUGCCACUGGGGGUGUUCCUAGAUUCUAAGGUAAACACUGUAUUUUCUUUGAAAAUACAGUGUUUACUUGAAAAGGCCUGCAGGAAGCUAUUGUACUCACCUGAACAACCCCAUUAAGCUGAAGUUGUUCAGGUGACUAUAGUGUCCCUUUAAGUAAAAGUUUCAAUUUUAAUAAUUUUGUUUUAGUAUUGUAAGUUUGUUUAAUUUUUUUUUCUUUUGUCUUUCAGGAUGGAAAUUCUGGGUGUGAAAAUAUAGUUUUUAAGAAGAUUGAUUAUUUUCUGAUCAAACUAAAACGCUUUCUAAUAAUCAUUUGUAAAAAAAAAAACACACAGAAAGAAGUUCGGCGUUUAACCACUUAGCCCAUUAAGGAUGGGAGGCAAUUGUACAAAUUCUGACCAAAACAAAACCUAGAAUUCAAGCUAUAUGUUUGUUAAACCAUAAUUGACCUCUUUCACAUUAAGUGCAUCCACGUUUAUUAUAUAUCAUUUUGUUAAGAAG
rnacentral:lncRNA from 1 species